GACGAACGCUGGCGGCGUGCUUAACACAUGCAAGUCGAACGGGCUGCCUGGUUUUUGGAUCGGGUGGUGAGUGGCGAACGGGUGAGUAACACGUAAGUAACCUGCCCCUCUCUUUGGGAUAACGUCGGGAAAUCGGCGCUAAUACCGGGUAUUCUGGCUUCCUCGCAUGGGGUUGUUGGGAAAGGUUUUUUCUGGUGGGGGAUGGGCUCGCGGCCUAUCAGCUUGUUGGUGGGGUGAUGGCCUACCAAGGCGGUGACGGGUAGCCGGCCUGAGAGGGUGUCCGGCCACACUGGGACUGAGACACGGCCCAGACUCCUACGGGAGGCAGCAGUGGGGAAUAUUGCACAAUGGGCGGAAGCCUGAUGCAGCGACGCCGCGUGGGGGAUGACGGCCUUCGGGUUGUAAACCUCUUUCAGUGCAGAACAAGGCUCUUUGUGGGUUGAGGGUAUGCGCAGAAGAAGCGCCGGCUAACUACGUG
rnacentral:rRNA from 1 species